rnacentral:misc_RNA from 1 species
AUGAAGAGGGGGCUUGCUCCGAUGGCGGAGUGUCAGUCAAUUUAUCUUUGGUUGACACAUCGCUAUCGGGAGCAAGCCCCCUCCCACA